UCAGAAAUGGCUGCCUCCAUGUUCUACAGCUGGUAGUUGACCACCUCUACCUUUUGGAACCACCGGCCUCAGGUUCUGGGAAAUUCUGGAUUGUUUAAUAAACAUGGAUUCCAAGUACAGCAGCAACAGCAAAGGAAUCUCACACUACAUGAAUACGUGAGUAUGGAAUUAUUGCAAGAAGCUGAUGUCUCUGUUCCCAAAGGAUAUGUGGCAAAGUCACCAGAUGAAGCUUAUGCAAUUGCCAAAAAAUUAGGUUCAAAAGAUGUUGUGAUAAAGGCACAGGUUUUAGCUGGUGGUAGAGGAAAAGGAACAUUUGAAAGUGGCCCCAAAGAAGGAGUGAAGAUAGUUUUCUCUCCAGAAGCAGCAAAAGCUGUUUCUUUUCGAAUGAUUGGAAAAAAGUUGUUUACCAAGCAAACGGGAGAAAAGGGCAGAAUAUGCAAUCAAGUAGUGGUCUGUGAGCGAAAAUAUCCCAAGAGACAGUACUAUUUAGCAAUAACAAUGGAAAGGUCACUUCAAGGUUCUGUAUUAAUAGGCAGUUCACAUGGUGGCGUCAACAUGGAAGAUGUUGCUGCUGAGACUCCUGAAGUAAUAAUUAAAGAACCUAUUGAUAUUGUAGAAGGCAUCAAAAAGGAACAAGCUCUCUGGCUUGCACAGAAGAUGGGAUUUCCACCUAAUAUCGUGGAUUCAGCAGCAGAAAACAUGGUCAAGCUUUACGGUCUUUUUCUGUAAACGAUGCAACCAUGAUAGAGAUAAAUCCAAUAGUGGAAGAUUCAGAUGGAGCUGUGUUGUGUACGGAUGCAAAGAUCAGUUUUGACUCUAAUUCAGCCUAUUGCCAGAAGAAAAUCUUUCAUCUACAGGACUGGACCCAGGAAGAUGAAAGGGACAAAGAUGCUGCUAAGGCACGUCUGAGCUACACUGGCCUUGAUGGAAAUAUAGGCUGCCAAGUAAAUGGUGCUUGUUUGGCUAUGGCCACAAUGGAUAUAAUGAAACUUUAUGGAGGGACUCCAGCCAACUUCUUUGAUGUUGGUGGUGGUGCUGCAAUCCAUCAAGUAACAGAAGCGUUUAAGCUUAUCACUUCAGAUAAAAAGGUACUGGCUAUUCUGGUCAACAAUUUUGGAGGAAUCAUGCUCUGUGAUGUUAUUGCACAGGGUAUAGUCAUGGCAGUAAAAGAUUUGGAAAUUAGAAUCCCCGUUGUGGUACAGUUACAAGGUACGUGGGUCGAUGAUGCUAAGGCACUGAUAGUGGACCACGGACUUAAAAUACUUGCUUGUGAUGACUGGGAUGAAGCUGCUAGAAUGUUGCUAAAGCUCUCUGAAAUAGUGGCCUUUGCAAAGCAAGCACAUGAGGAUGUGAAAUUUCAGUUGCCAAUAUGAUCUGAAAACCCAGUGGAUGGCUGAAGGUGUUAAAUGCGCUGUAAUCAUUAAGAAUACUAUGUUCUGUGUUAUUGUUCUUUUUCUUUUUAGUGUGUGGAGAUUGUAAUUACUAUCUAGGCACACAAACAUUUAAAAGCAUUUGGUCUGCAUUUAAUUCUACCAUUCAGAAUGAACUGUUUGUACGAAG